rnacentral:rRNA from 1 species
AGUGAACGCUGGCGGUAUGCCUAACACAUGCAAGUCGAACGAACGGACGGUAAGCGUUUGCCCCUACUGUUGGCGGCGGGCGGACGGGUAAGGCGUACAUCGCCAUCUUAUAAUUCGGGGAGAAUAACGGAGAACCGGUGAUAAUAAUAGCUCAUACGUUGUACGGGAGAGAGCAAGAGUGAUAGACGCUCUUGCUGAUACAUUUAGAUGGUUCCGGGUUGGAUUAGCUAGUUGGUAAGGUAACGGCCUACCAAGGCAACGAUGCAUAGCCGAGCUGAGAGGGUGAUCGGCCACACUGGAACUGAGACACGGUCCAGACUCCUACGGGAGGCAGCAGUGGGGAAUCUUCCGCAAUGGGCGAAAGCCUGACGGAGCAACGCCGCGUGAGUGAUGAAGGUCUUCGGAUCGUAAAGCCCUGUUAUUAGGGAAGAACAUCUGUGUAAUUAACUGUGCCUAUCUUGACGGUACCUAAUCAGAAAGCCCCGGCUAACUUCGUG